rnacentral:rRNA from 1 species
GUGCCAGCAGCCGCGGUAAUACGUAGGUGGCAAGCGUUAUCCGGAAUUAUUGGGCGUAAAGCGCGCGUAGGCGGUUUUUAAGUCUGAUGUGAAAGCCCACGGCUCAACCGUGGAGGGUCAUUGGAAACUGGAAAACUUGAGUGCAGAAGAGGAAAGUGGAAUUCCAUGUGUAGCGGUGAAAUGCGCAGAGAUAUGGAGGAACACCAGUGGCGAAGGCGACUUUCUGGUCUGUAACUGACGCUGAUGUGCGAAAGCGUGGG